rnacentral:rRNA from 1 species
GACGAACGCUGGCGGCGUGCCUAAUACAUGCAAGUCGAACGAGAUCCCGGAGCUUGCUCCGGGGGACAGUGGCGAACGGGUGAGUAACACGUGAGAAACCUGCCCUAGAGACCGGGACAACCGUUGGAAACGGCGGCUAAUACCGGAUGCCUUCACAUGGUCGCAUGGCCGAGUGAAGAAAUGCUCAGGUGCUCUAGGAGGGUCUCGCGGCCUAUCAGCUAGUUGGUGAGGUAACGGCUCACCAAGGCAUCGACGGGUAGCUGGUCUGAGAGGACGAUCAGCCACACUGGGACUGAGACACGGCCCAGACUCCUACGGGAGGCAGCAGUAGGGAAUCUUGCGCAAUGGGGGAAACCCUGACGCAGCAACGCCGCGUGUGGGAUGACGGCUUUCGGGUUGUAAACCACUUUCAGUGAUGACGAAAAUGACGGUAAUCACAGAAGAAGGUCCGGCCAACUACGUGCCAGCCGCCGCCGUAACAC